rnacentral:rRNA from 1 species
CCUACGGGUGGCAGCAGUGGGGGAUAUUGCACAAUGGGGUAAACCCUGAUGCAGCGACGCCGCGUGUGGGAAGACGGUCCUCUGGAUUGUACACCACUGUCCCCAGGGACGACAAUGACGGUACCUGGGGAGGAAGCUCCGGCUAACUACGUGCCAGCAGCCGCGGUAAUACGUAGGGAGCGAGCGUUGUCCGGAAUUACUGGGUGUAAAGGGAGCGUAGGCGGGGAUGCAAGUUGGGUGUCAAAACUACCGGCUCAACUGGUAGUCGCACUCAAAACUGCAGCUAUUGAGUGAAGUAGAGGCAGGCGGAAUUCCUAGGGUAGCGGUGAAAUGCGUAGAUAUUAGGAGGAACACCAGUGGCGAAGGCGGCCUGCUGGGCUUUUACUGACGCUGAGGCUCGAAAGUGUGGGGAGCAAACAGGAUUAGAUACCCCGGUAGUC